rnacentral:rRNA from 1 species
UACGUAGGAUCCUAGCGUUGUCCGGAUUUACUGGGUGUAAAGGGAGCGCAGGCGGACUUAUAAGUCAGUGGUGAAAUCUCGGCGCUUAACGCCGAAACUGCCUUUGAUACUAUAAGUCUUGAGUUUGGUAGAGAUCAGUGGAAUUCCGAGUGUAGCGGUGAAAUGCGCAGAUAUCAGGAGGAACACCGGUGGCGAAGGCGGGUCUCUGGGUAGUAACUGACGCUGAGGAACGAAAGCGUGGGUAGCGAACAGG